rnacentral:rRNA from 1 species
CAAGUCGGAACGGCAGCACGGACUUCGGUCUGGUGGCGAGUUGGCGAACGGGUGAGUAAUGUAUCGGAACGUGCCCAGUAGCGGGGGAUAACUACGCGAAAGCGUAGCUAAUACCGCAUACGCCCUACGGGGGAAAGCAGGGGAUCGCAAGACCUUGCACUAUUGGAGCGGCCGAUAUCGGAUUAGCUAGUUGGUGGGGUAACGGCUCACCAAGGCGACGAUCCGUAGCUGGUUUGAGAGGACGACCAGCCACACUGGGACUGAGACACGGCCCAGACUCCUACGGGAGGCAGCAGUGGGGAAUUUUGGACAAUGGGGGAAACCCUGAUCCAGCCAUCCCGCGUGUGCGAUGAAGGCCUUCGGGUUGUAAAGCACUUUUGGCAGGAAAGAAACGUCGCGGGUUAAUACCCCGCGGAACUGACGGUACCUGCAGAAUAAGCACCGGCUAACUACGUGCCAGCAGCCGCGGUAAUACGUAGGGUGCAAGCGUUAAUCGGAAUUACUGGGCGUAAAGCGUGCGCAGGCGGUUCGGAAAGAAAGAUGUGAAAUCCCAGAGCUUAACUUUGGAACUGCAUUUUUAACUACCGGGCUAGAGUGUGUCAGAGGGAGGUGGAAUUCCGCGUGUAGCAGUGAAAUGCGUAGAUAUGCGGAGGAACACCGAUGGCGAAGGCAGCCUCCUGGGAUAACACUGACGCUCAUGCA